AGUCAACACCACACAGAAAACCAGCCAGUCACCCAGAAUUGAAUGGGUCUAUUGUGACGCAAGCUCAGCCUGAAGAACUCAUCACACAGAGGGAGGUGGCUCAGCCAUGGAGACGGAAAUGAGUGCCGUGAGGACAUCCAUUACCCGCAUGGCACAGCAGAUGGAUGCAUUUGAGGAGAAGAUGGA